ACGGACUCCUACGGGAGGCAGCAGUGGGGAAUAUUGGGCAAUGGGGGGAACCCUGACCCAGCAACGCCGUGUGAGGGAAGAAGGUUUUCGGAUCGUAAACCUCUGUCCUUGGUGAAGAGGAAGAGACGGUAGCCAAAGAGGAAGCCCCGGCUAACUACGUGCCAGCAGCCGCGGUAAU
rnacentral:rRNA from 1 species